UUAAUUACAUUCAUAAUCACCUAGGAUAAAAGGAUUUCAUUCCUAACCUAUAAAACAUAGUACAGCCAGAGGUGAAAUCGUGUAAAUUGGUGCAAGUCAAUGGUGAGGGUAUAUUUGAAAGAAAAUAAAUAUUUAGAAGGUUCGUUAUCAUAUUACAAACUUUGCAGAGGUAUCAAUGAUUUUUUAAAACUUUGAGAGAUGUGAGGAAAUUAACACUAAGUAUUAUGUAUGCAUUAAUGCACCCGAAAGGAUAAUUAAAAUUUACAAAUCAUGAUCUUAUCAUGUAGGCCUUAAUAUCAUAAUAAUUAUAUAUGAACUAUUUAUACCAAGAUCAUCUCAUGUGACACACAAAAAUUACUAUUCCAAUCUAAUUAGAGGGGUUCGGCAUUUGACCUUUGCUACAUAGUCAAGCUACGCGACAGUUAAUAUUAGAUAUGACCUUUCUAGUCCUUUGAGUGGCACAAGCAUCCGACCUAUACAUGUAUUCACACAAGACUGCUCGGGAAUUAGUACUUCACACAUUCACAAUGUGAUCUUGAAACUUCUUUCGUAAAAUCUCGUGUAAAUGUUCAGAAGAAUUAACACUCGAAAUAGUACUAGCAAUCCCAAAGAGGAUUAAUGGUAGUGAAAAGACCAACUACUGUAGGGAGAUUAUUCCCUCCCCCUCUCUCUCUCUCUCUCUCUCUUAAGAUUAAAAGAGAGCUCAAAUAUGAUUGGGAGAAUCUCUUUCUAUGUCUCACUCACUUCUCUUCCCAUCAUUGAAAGGAAUUACUAAUUCCCCUUUUAAAAUCGAGAAAGAGAAAAAAUAAAACAUUUUCUCUUCUUCUUAACACUUUAUUUAAUGAAGAGAAAAGUUUUCGCUUAAUAAAGUAAUAAGAGAAGGAAAAGAAUGAAAACGUCCUCUUUUCAUUUAGUAACUCUGUUAAUUAAUAGAUGGAGAGAGGAGGAAGAGAAAACAUCCUCCUUUCUCCUAACUUUUAUUUAAUAACUACUAGUUGAGGAGUUGAAGAGAGAAGGACAGGUCAUGAUUCAAAAAAUCGUAUGAGAUUAAUGACUCAUUUUCUCUUUUAGUUUUGGAAUCUGAAUACUCUUCAACUUUUGCACAUAAGCCCCUACUCUAAAUUGUAUUUCGUACAAAGUUCCUCCGUGCAACUUUUGCAUUUUGCAAAUUUGUCCUUCUAUUAACCAAUUUAGCAAAUAAAUAUCUGCUCUGCUACCUUACCAAAAUGGCUUCUAAUAAAACUGUUUUAUAACUCCCACAAACACUUGACUUUAUGCAGCCUUUAUUGUGUGUAACCACAUAGGUUUGAUUCAUUCUAGUAGUGCUACAUGACACUGAGCUCCUUCAUUGUUACCAUCAGAACUCCUUCCAAAAGACCGAAAUAUUUUCAGUUCUACUUUGAGUGUGAUUAUGUAACACCCCUACACUUUAUUUCUUUUGACCAUUAUUCUUUUAAAAUUUGGAUCUUUUUGUAAAUAUCUAUUGUUGAGGGACUCGGUGGCAUAUUGUGUCUAAUUAAUCCCUAAUCCCUAAUUCUGUUUUGCUUCCCAUUCGUAACAGCCACCUUACCUCCCUCUCAUUCUCCCUUUCUCUCUCUCGCCCGACCCUCUCUCACACUCACAUCCGUACCGCCUCUCCCUCUCCCGCAUGCGCGCGCGACGCUAUUCAUCACCAUCAUUGUCGCCAUCAUCCGUGGCCAUCGUCACCAUAGCCGUAUUCCUUGAUCUCUGUCGACAUUCUUGGUUCGCCAUCGAUGGCAUCUCGUCGUCGACAUUACCGUCUUUAAGAAGGUUCCGGUGAUUGAUUUUUCGUGCAAUUUUCCACUGGAUAGCUUCUUAGCUUAGAAGCUGCUUUUGAGAUUUCAAAAUUAUGGGUCAAGAGUAUUAUCACACAUUUCUGAAACAUGAGUUUCAGCUUUGAUUGAUGGAUUCUUUUAGCAAAAGAAUUUUGAGAUUUGAUAAUAUGUUCUGUAAAUUAGUGACUGGGUAAGUGUUUUAAAUUAUAAAUGUCUCUUGAUAUUCUGCUAUGCUAGUGUUGGUCAUGUCGACAUAUAUUCUAUUAUAGAAGCUAGCUUCGUCUUUGUAUUGCACCUUCGGAUGCCUGCACCUAUUCACACUUUUGUUCUGUAUUUGCGCUUUCGAGCGCCUCUAUUCUGUAUAUGCACCUUCGGGUUCCUCUAUUCUGUUUUGCGCCUUCGAGUACCUCUGGAUCUCGCCAACGGAUCAUACUAUAUAGUUAAUUAUCAGAGACUUAAAUUUUUAUUUCAUUUAUUUGCUGGAAAAUGAAAUUUAUAGUUCCUAUCUGAUCUGAAUUUUAAAUUUUGACUAAUGUGAAAUUUUACUGAAAUUUUACAAAUUAAAAACCAAUCGCUUAAAUUAAUUUUUGUAUUUAUUUAUUUGUAUGCUUAAUCCGACUAAUGUAGUGUAUGAUUGCUUGCCCAAAUACCGAGACUGCUUUGCCGGGCGAGGCCGAGAUGAGUGAAUGUUAGAUGUAGUACCAAUCGAAUUUAGUUUCCCUUAUAUUUACGUAUGGUAUAGUUAGAUGUGAAAUUUUUUGGAUUUCGUAAAUGAUCAUUUGUUUAUCUAUUUCUGUUUCAUUAUUUCUUCAUACCCACAAUUUGUUAUUUUUGAUAUCUGUUAGACCGAAUUUUCGUUUGCAUUUCGUAGCAAACACUAGUUUUAUUUACGUGAGAAUUCAUUUGAUUCUAGUUGAAAUUCAAUUGUUAGUCUCAUCUUUUGAUUCUUUGGAUUUAGGGAAAAAUUUAGUAAUCAUCAUUUUGUCUGUUUUCUCUCUGAUUCUGUAGCCUUGCAUAUUUACUAAUUUAGUAGGUAUGCGGCGUCUGUUACACCUCGGGUUCAAGGCGUGACAGAUUAACCAUCCAAAUCAAUCUCGUGGUUCCCACAAUCCACAAGUAACACCUAACAAGAGGUUGGGGCAACAAGUAUAAUGAAUAGUGAACUAACAAUGUUGGUGCAGUUAUUGUGUGAUUAAAUCCUUUGGUUACUCUGUCCUCAUUGAGGUCAUGGAUGACUCAUCAAACCACAUUACUCAAUCAUGUCUAAUCCGAUUGACAACCACUAUUGUGCUAACUUAGGAAAACCCAUUUUCAUAAAAGCACACUGCCUUAGUUAAGGGCUUUUGAGUCUCAUCACACAGAUAAUAUAAGAGGGUAAUAGAUUCCAUCUUGGUAUGCACCUGCCUACAUGUAUUACUCAUUACAGCCAAAAUGUGCUAAUUUAAACCCACGAUUAAGGUCUAAAGUAUUUACACAAUCAAACUACAAUAACUCACAUGCAAAAUAACAUUGAUGCCUCAGACCUAAGGAUCAAUUACACAACUACAAUAUCAAACAAGUCAUUGAUGAGAGAGUAGUUAUCCACGUGACUCUUUGUAACCGGUCACAUUCAGUUAGGGAUGUCAACGGGUCGGGUUUGGGUAGGGUU